UUUUUUUUUUUUUUUUUUUUUUUUUGACGUUUAAUGCCACACCUGCAGCAUGUGAACGUUCCCAGGCUAGAGGAUCAAACUGGAGUUGUAGCUGCCAGCCCACACCACAGCCACAGCCACACCAGAUCCAAGCCAUGUCUGCGACACACCACAGCUCACAGCAACGCCGGAUCCUUAACCCUCUGAGCGAGGCCAGGGAUCUAACCCGCAACUUCAUGGUUCCUAGUCGGAUUCGUUUCUGCUGUGCCAUGAUGGGAACUCCGAGGCUGAUGUUUUUUAAGCGAUGUUUUGGGGGUAGUUGAGGGAAGCAAGUGAUGGUUGUGCAGAAGCAAGUCCCUCUGAGUCAUGGAGGAUAGUGGAGGCUGUGUGUGUUCCCAGGCUCGGGGUCGAAUCGGAGCUGUAGCCACUGGCCUACGCCAGAGCCCCAGCAAAGCAGGAUCCGAGCCGCAUCUGCAACCUACACCACAGCUCACAGCAACGCCGGAUCCUUAACCCACUGAGCAAGGGCAGGGACUGAACCCGCAACCUCAUGGUUCCUAGUCAGAUUCGUUAACCACUGCGCCAUGACGGGAACUCCUGGAAUAGUUUUUUAAUUAGUCUCUCUUCCUCUGGUCUGUGUCCCAUGAUCCACCUGCUGGUAUUAACUGGAUGCUCUCUGGGCACUUUGUGUGUGUCAUCCAUUCCUCAGCAGCAGCUUGUAAGGGAGCUGCUGCUACUGUGUUCAUUCUCCAGAUUGGGAAGCUGAGGCUGAUGGGAGCUGAAUAAUUUGCCCAAAGUCAGAUCCUUAAUAACAUGUCCAGGUCCUCUGCUACUAGUCUAGCUCUUUGUCAUCUCCCUGUGCCGCUUGCUGAAAGCCAGACCUGGUCAUGUCACUCCUUUCGUUAUAAAAACGAAGUGCCUCCUCUGUUCAGUGGGCACAGUGAAGAUGGACACCUCCCUGCCCUCCUUGAGGUGUCCUGCUGGUGAAGGAAACAGGCACCACACACGUAAAGGCAAACGAAAAACGGAGUUAGCAGUCAAAGGUGGCGAAGCUUCCUUGAGUUAACGGAACUCUGUGGUGGUGUCUAGUUAAAUAGCCACCUUCCACAUCUCCCCGCUGAGGCUGCCCAGUGACACCUUGGGGCUUAGAGAAGCCCAGCAGCAGAAGAAAUGCACCUGCCUUCUUCGUUAGCCCAGCCAGUCUUCCCCAGAAUCACGCGACCACAAACACCUCCUGGUAGUUCAGUGAAGGGCUUGGGGGUGUGGAAAGAGAGGGUGCCUCGUCAUUCAGAAGAGAGAGGAUGAUGGCACCCUUGGGGUCCGGCAGGACUUUAUUUAAAAGGGGUCCUGGAAGGCUGAUAGGAUUUGGCUGAACAGAAGGGAUAUCUACAAGGAGACACGUUUAGGAAACAUUUUGGAAAGUGCCUCACCAUAACAGCUGGAACUCUGUGGUUUUAUGGAGUAAACGAACACUGCGACCUUGCAGUAAGUGGAGGGUUUGUGUUAGCAGGAAGCUUGAGAAGGGGCUGUACGGGUAGAAUCUCCAGCCUUUGGCUGGUUAGGAACUUUUGAUAGUCGUUGUUGGGCAUGAUCUGAACCAAGUGGUAGAUGAGAAACUUGCGUUGAGCUGAGACAUAGUUGGGGGAUUGGAGGGGGAGAUCAGAAGCGUGAAAACCGUGGCUAGAGUGGUUGUCUGUGUAAAGUGAGGCAAGCUGAGACCGGCAGGGCCAAGUAGGGCCGAGCCGAAAAGGUAUUGGGAAGAAUCAGCAGGACAAAACAGUUGAGAAUGACUGGUGUGGGCUGCUGGGAGGACCCAGUCCCAAGAGGUCAGGCACAGUGCUCACUGCUCUUCCGGGCAUGUUCCAGAGAGGCUUUAAAUGAAGUAAAUAAAGAAGCUUCUGUUAAAAUGUUUGAUUAAAUACAUAUAGUGAGUGCUUUUAAAAUGCUGAUGGGGCAAGAUGGCAGAUAAUAUAGCAGUUUUAGGAGAGUUUAUUGUUUGAGGUUCUGGUGUAGAGAUUUGAUUCCCAGCACAAGUCCCAGUAAGUAAUGAGCCAUGUAAUAAUAGGGCUCUGCUCUUAAUUAUGGUGAGUACUCUCAAUGAAAUCGAAUUUUCUUAGUACCAUCCGUGGAAAAAAAUUUAACUCUGACUUUACAUAACAGUCCCAGAUAGAGUGUGAACUCUGUGGAUAUGGGAUAGUGACAGAAAAAAAGAGGAAACAAAUCUCCAAUAUUUGCAGAAAAUGUAAGCUCAGAUUAUAACAUAAAUAUAUGAGUGUUUGUGGCGGCUCUGUUGAAGUUGUUACUAGCUAGACUCUAAACCCCAGCACAAACCCCUUCCAGAUUUCAUCAUCACGACUGGUUCUCUGUUAGAUUUUGAGUUCCUUGUUAGCAUGGAUGGUAAUGCUUUUAUCUUUGUAAUACCUACAGUAUUUUGUGGAUUCAAUUGUUUAAAAAAAAGUUCAGGGAGUUCCCAUCGUGGCUUAGCGGAAACAGAUCUGACUAGCAUCCAUGAAGAUGCAGGUUCGAUCCCUGGCCUCACUCAGUGGGUUAAGGAUCCAGCAUUGCCGUGAACUGUGGUGUAGGUCACAGAUGUGGCUCAGAUCUGACAUUGCUGUGGCUGUGGUGUAGGCUGGCAGCUACAACUCCAAUUCAACCUCUAGCCUGGAAACUUUCAUAUGCCGUGCAUAUGGCCCUAAAAAGAUGAACAAAACAAAACAAAACAAUUCAGUUUUAUUGAAUUGCUUCUGCAAAUGAUAGUGGGGGAAGGGGAGAGAUUGCUAAUGAAUACUUUUCCUUUGUUUUUUUUAAGACUUUUUGGGGUAAUGACCAACUGUAUUUUCAGCUAGUCAGCCUGUCAUGUGGGUGUGGAAUGCACCUGCAGGUGUGAGGAGAAUUAGGGGGGUGAGUCCAUUGGAACAGUCCCCAGCGAGAUGCCCUGCACCAGGUUUUCUGUGGGCACCUGUAGGAAUGGGCAGCUCUCUCUCCCUGAGGCCACUGGGCACUGCCAGUAAGUGCCACCAGCCACUUAGGAAGAAAUCAUGUGUGAUAUUUAUGAUGGACGUAUGAGCGCUAGGUAUAACUCCUGGUUUGCCUUUCACAGGUCGGGUGACCGUCUGCAGAUCCUAGCCAUUGGAAAGGUGAGCGUUAUAACUCACAGGGUCAUUCUGGCCAGCCCACGGUGCCUGGUUGGCAUGUAGAGAGUGUAUUAUUUCUGUUCUCUUCUGGGGGCCUCUGGAAAGCAGACCGAGGUUUAAAAAGAUGUUGUCAAAAUUCUUUCCUUUGAAAUCAAUCUGUGUUGACUCAUAAUUUGAGUACUCCUUUAGUACAGUUAUUAAAUAUAGUUACAUAGUUAGCUCACACACAUGCCUAUUUAACCUGUGAGGGCAGAAUUUUGAUUAUGUAGGUCCCAUGGCUUAAGAAAAUGGGGUUUUCUCUUCAACUUGUCUUUAAACUAGAUCUCAAAUUAGCGGACAUUGAUUUCAGAAUUCAGCCUUUAGGAUUCCUCAGAAGUUUUUCUUGCCUUUCAUUUGUCGCUCCCUUAACAUCUCCCCUGCUUUUUUUCAUUUGCUCUUUUCAUGUUGUCAGGGUUUUUUGUUUGUUUUUACGUUUUCUCUCCUGAAACUUUGCACUCAGAGAUAGGAGUAAAGGCCUAUUUUGAGGCAGUAGGAUGGACAGUGUGCUUUCUUUCAUCUCAGUGUAUUAUUGUUUUGCUAACAUGCCUUUUUGCUCUGAAGAUAUAAAUUCACAACUGGAGAAAGAAUCCCAAACUUCAUAAUAACUCUGUAGUUUCCUGAGUGCUUAUUGUGUGCCAAGUACAGGGCAUUUUAGUACAUUAGCUGAUGUCUUCUCAUCCAUAGUGAAGAGACGAAGGCGCCUUGGAGAGUCAGGCCUGGCUGCUUGCUGUGACCGUGCUCCUGACCUGUUCUCUUGUUCCCCCUUGUUCAGUCCCAGGGACAGGGUGGUUUUUAUUAUCUUUAAAGACCUAAGAGAUCUUGGGGCCCUGACUUUGAUGGAUGGCAUUUGGCCUAUUUUAAUUACAAAAACUUAUCAAAUGUUAACAUAAAUUACCUGUGUCUAGUGGGUUCAUAGCCCCAAAUAGUGUCGUUUGGGGUCUUAAAGUGUGUUGAACUGAUUUUGAUGUGUUUAUAAGAGACAUUAUCACUGUUUGAAAAACCCGAUAGUGCUCUUUCCUCCCUGAUUUCUAAUUCUGGCAUCUAGAAUGCAGCUGAGACAAGAGCACGUCUGUGAGACAAACAGAGAUCUCAUGAGAGCUCAUGGAUUAACUUUUUUCCACCACAGCAGCAGGUUUUUCUUAAAGCGUUGUUUGAAAAUUAACAUUACUGAAAAUUUAAGCCUACCUAAAGGGAUUCUAGUUUUGAUCUCAAUUAUAAAAAGUAGGAAGACAUUUCAUAAAAAUCUGUGUCCCCUUAGCACUAGAAUGCUUUGGCUGUGAGUGGGAUAAGCUAGAAGUAAGCUGCCUUUGAUAGACGUGAGCGGUGUGUGAUAACUGUCUCUAUCUAUUCAACUACUUCCUGUUCAAUCUCACAUCGCAGCUGGAAAGCAAUUUCCUCACUUGACCCAUUUUUCUUCUGUAUUGUGUCUUUCUUCUGGUUCUUUAACAAAUAGUUUGAAGGAAUGGAGUGUCGUAAAGCCUUACACACUUGUAAGGUGAGGCAAUUCAGGCACCUGCUUUGGAAUAAGCAUACUCUCUUGUGUUUCAUUAUUUGGCUCCCUGGUUGGGCGGAUAACAGUUUUGCUCCUUUACUUUCAUGUCACUGUUUUCAGAAGAGAGAGAUUUUAAAGCUUGAAAAUGGUAGGCAUUUGAGUAAAGACAAAAACAGGUGUAUGGGGGUAAGGAUCUUGUUUUAGUAACAUGGACAAUUUAUGAAUGUUAUAAUUUUAGUAAGCAUAUAUGCAGUAAGUCUAGCAUUAAUAGAUCCACAUUGUAAAAUGCCUGUUUAUCCAAAGACGGAGGUCUCUUGGUAUCAUUGGCUUGUUACUGUUAAUGCCACCCUUAGUCACAGGUAUGACGUUAUCAUGUGAUAACUUUUGUCCCACACCCAUGGCUUAUAGAGUGCUUGGGUUGCCUUCUCUUUUUGCCAGAUCAAAUUCUAAAUGUCCUAACACACCGAACAUAACGCCAGUCUCCUUCUUGAAACCAUCUCUGACUUUACGUGUAUAAGCUCUCUCUUUUCUGUUUCUGCUCACACCUUUGGGGACCUCACUUAGCCCUGUGACUUUAAAUUUACCACACAUACCCUGAAGACUCCUAGGUUUUUGCUUGUUUUGUGAGGGGGUUUUUUGGCCAGCCUGGACUGCAUAGAUAUUUGCAUAUCUAGUUGCCUUCUCACCACCUGCACAGGACUGUUUAGUGAGCAUUUCCAGCCCACAGGGCCAGACCUGGCCCUGCUCUUGCCCCAGGACCACUCUGCCUGCACUCCUCUCUGUCUUCCUCGAGAGCGCUUACCCCCUUCUGGUCGCUCCAGUCUAAACCCUAGAGUCUUCCUUGGCUCCCUCUUUCUUUCCAUGUACAGUACAUAAGAAACUAAGAGAUUUCUAAGUGAUCCAUGGGUCAAAGAAGAGAAAUACUUGGAACUAAAUUUAAAAAACCAAAUACAACAUAUCAGAAAUCAUAUGAUGCUGCUAAGCUGUGCUAAGAGGGAAAUUUAUGGCAUUAAAUGUCUCUAUUGGAAAAGGAGAACGAUCUCAGAUCAGUAAUUUAAGCGUUUAUCUUAUUCCAAAAAGUGAAGAACAAACUAAACCCAAUAGCAAGUAAAAAGAAGGAGAUAAAGGUUAGAGUGGAAGUCGGUGACGUAGAAACAGAAAGCAGUAGAAAGGAUCAAUAGAACCAAAAUUAAUUGG
rnacentral:lncRNA from 1 species